rnacentral:rRNA from 1 species
CAGCAGCCGCGGUAAUACGUAGGGUGCAAGCGUUGUCCGGAAUUAUUGGGCGUAAAGAGCUCGUAGGCGGUUUGUCACGUCUGCUGUGAAAACCCGAGGCUCAACCUCGGGCUUGCAGUGGGUACGGGCAGACUAGAGUGCGGUAGGGGAGAUUGGAAUUCCUGGUGUAGCGGUGGAAUGCGCAGAUAUCAGGAGGAACACCGAUGGCGAAGGCAGAUCUCUGGGCCGUAACUGACGCUGAGGAGCGAAAGCAUGGGGAGCAAACAGG